GCAGAACGCGAAGAACCUUACCCGGCCUUGACAUCCACGGAACUUUCCAGAGAUGGAUUGGUGCCUUCGGGAACCGUGAGACAGGUGCUGCACUGGCUGUCGUCAGCUCGUGUCGUGAGAUGUUGGGUUAAGUCCCGCAACGAGCGCAACCCGUUGUCCUUAGUUGCCAGCACGUAAUGGUGGGAACUCUAAGGGAGACCGCCGGUGACAAACCGGAGGAAGGUGGGGAUGACGUCAAGUCAUCAUGGCCCUUACGGCCAGGGCUACACACGUACUACAAUGGGAAGGACAGAGGGCUGCAAACCCGCGAGGGCAAGCCAAUCCCGAGAAACCUUCUCUCAGUCCGGAUCGGAGUCUGCAACUCGACUCCGUGAAGUCGGAAUCGCUAGUAACUCGCAGA
rnacentral:rRNA from 1 species